rnacentral:rRNA from 1 species
UACAGAGGUCUCAAGCGUUGUUCGGAUUCAUUGGGCGUAAAGGGUGCGUAGGUGGCGCUGUAAGUCGGGUGUGAAAUUUCGGAGCUUAACUCCGAAACUGCAUUCGAUACUGCGGUGCUUGAGGACUGGAGAGGAGACUGGAAUUCAUGGUGUAGCAGUGAAAUGCGUAGAGAUCAUGAGGAAGACCAGUGGCGAAGGCGGGUCUCUGGACAGUUCCUGACACUGAGGCGCGAAGGCCAGGGGAGCAAACAGG